UUAAGCGACUAAGCGUACACGGUGGAUGCCCUGGCAGUCAGAGGCGAUGAAGGACGUGCUAAUCUGCGAAAAGCGUCGGUAAGGUGAUAUGAACCGUUACAGCCGGCGAUGUCCGAAUGGGGAAACCCAGUGUGAUUCGUCACACUAUCGUUAACUGAAUACAUAGGUUAACGAGGCGAACCGGGGGAACUGAAACAUCUAAGUACCCCGAGGAAAAGAAAUCAACCGAGAUUCCCCCAGUAGCGGCGAGCGAACGGGGAGCAGCCCAGAGUCUGAAUCAGCUUGUGUGUUAGUGGAACGGUCUGGAAAGUCCGACGGUACAGGGUGAUAGUCCCGUACACCAAAAUGCACAGGCUGUGAACUCGAAGAGUAGGGCGGGACACGUGGUAUCCUGUCUGAAUAUGGGGGGACCAUCCUCCAAGGCUAAAUACUCCUGACUGACCGAUAGUGAACCAGUACCGUGAGGGAAAGGCGAAAAGAACCCCGGCGAGGGGAGUGAAAAAGAACCUGAAACCGUGUACGUACAAGCAGUGGGAGCACCUUCGGGUGUGACUGCGUACCUUUUGUAUAAUGGGUCAGCGACUUAUAUUCUGUAGCAAGGUUAACCGUAUAGGGGAGCCGCAGGGAAACCGAGUCUUAACUGGGCGUUAAGUUGCAGGGUAUAGACCCGAAACCCGGUGAUCUAGCCAUGGGCAGGUUGAAGGUUGGGUAACACUAACUGGAGGACCGAACCGACUAAUGUUGAAAAAUUAGCGGAUGACUUGUGGCUGGGGGUGAAAGGCCAAUCAAACCGGGAGAUAGCUGGUUCUCCCCGAAAGCUAUUUAGGUAGCGCCUCGUGAAUUCAUCUUCGGGGGUAGAGCACUGUUUCGGCUAGGGGGUCAUCCCGACUUACCAACCCGAUGCAAACUACGAAUACCGAAGAAUGUUAUCACGGGAGACACACGGCGGGUGCUAACGUCCGUCGUGAAGAGGGAAACAACCCAGACCGCCAGCUAAGGUCCCAAAGUCAUGGUUAAGUGGGAAACGAUGUGGGAAGGCACAGACAGCCAGGAUGUUGGCUUAGAAGCAGCCAUCAUUUAAAGAAAGCGUAAUAGCUCACUGGUCGAGUCGGCCUGCGCGGAAGAUGUAACGGGGCUAAACCAUGCACCGAAGCUGCGGCAGCGACACUAUGUGUUGUUGGGUAGGGGAGCGUUCUGUAAGCCUGCGAAGGUGUGCUGUGAGGCAUGCUGGAGGUAUCAGAAGUGCGAAUGCUGACAUAAGUAACGAUAAAGCGGGUGAAAAGCCCGCUCGCCGGAAGACCAAGGGUUCCUGUCCAACGUUAAUCGGGGCAGGGUGAGUCGACCCCUAAGGCGAGGCCGAAAGGCGUAGUCGAUGGGAAACAGGUUAAUAUUCCUGUACUUGGUGUUACUGCGAAGGGGGGACGGAGAAGGCUAUGUUAGCCGGGCGACGGUUGUCCCGGUUUAAGCAUGUAGGCUGAUUGUCCAGGCAAAUCCGGAUAAUCAAGGCUGAGGUGUGAUGACGAGGCACUACGGUGCUGAAGUAACAAAUGCCCUGCUUCCAGGAAAAGCCUCUAAGCAUCAGGUAACAUUAAAUCGUACCCCAAACCGACACAGGUGGUCAGGUAGAGAAUACCAAGGCGCUUGAGAGAACUCGGGUGAAGGAACUAGGCAAAAUGGUGCCGUAACUUCGGGAGAAGGCACGCUGGUGUGUAGGUGAAGCCCCUGCGGGUGGAGCUGAGACCAGUCGAAGAUACCAGCUGGCUGCAACUGUUUAUUAAAAACACAGCACUGUGCAAACACGAAAGUGGACGUAUACGGUGUGACGCCUGCCCGGUGCCGGAAGGUUAAUUGAUGGGGUUAUCCGUAAGGAGAAGCUCUUGAUCGAAGCCCCGGUAAACGGCGGCCGUAACUAUAACGGUCCUAAGGUAGCGAAAUUCCUUGUCGGGUAAGUUCCGACCUGCACGAAUGGCGUAAUGAUGGCCAGGCUGUCUCCACCCGAGACUCAGUGAAAUUGAACUCGCUGUGAAGAUGCAGUGUACCCGCGGCAAGACGGAAAGACCCCGUGAACCUUUACUAUAGCUUGACACUGAACAUUGAGCCUUGAUGUGUAGGAUAGGUGGGAGGCUUUGAAGCGUGGACGCCAGUCUGCGUGGAGCCAACCUUGAAAUACCACCCUUUAAUGUUUGAUGUUCUAACGUUGGCCCCU
rnacentral:rRNA from 1 species